rnacentral:lncRNA from 1 species
AGUCCCCUAUACCGUCCCCCCACCCUGUUCCCAAACCCACCCACUUCUGCUCCUGAUCCUGGCAUUCCCCUGUACUGGGGCAUAUAAUCUAUUCUUGCCAUAGUUCUACCCCCUUCUCUUAUCCUGAAAAUACCCUCCAACAGUUGACAAGACCACCAGCACUAAGACAUGUUAUUCUCUUAUCCCAUUAUUUUUGUCAUCGCUACAUUCAUGAAAACAUUUUGAAUAUUAACAUACCUACAUAUAUGUAUCAGUAUGUUUUGAUUAGUUUGAAAAAUCAUUAGAAUUGUGAUACAUACAGAAGAUAUCAUGUCAGUCUUUUAAAUUCACAAAUAUUAGAUUUUCUGUUUUCUGAUCAAGCACUGACCUGUCUUUAUUAAUAUUUUAUUCUAUAUUUUAUAUAUGUGAAUAUAGGUUCCUCAUAGGUAUGUACAUCAUUUGUAUCCAGGUACUUGUGGAGUCGAGACGCAGCAUCAGAUUUCUUGGAACUGGAUUUAGAGUCAGCUAAGAACUGCUCAGCGUGAGGGCUGGUAACUGAAGCUAGUACCUCCUUAGGAGCAAUAUUUAACCUUUGUAUCAUCCCUCUCGUCUCUAUUAAUGUCUUUGAAUGAAUGUAGAUCAAAUAAAUUAUAGUCUUGAGAUCUUAUUAUGCAAAUAUUUCAGGGUUGAUAAUCUUUAAUAAUAUUGCUGACUCCUAAGAAAUACAUCACUUAAACACAGUUAUAUCCUUUAAAACACUCUAGAGGAAUUUAGUCUACUUAAUUAAAACUUUAACACUUAUUAAGCUAUAAAUUUGCCUAAAUUAUAAUUUUGUUUUUAUGGAAAAACCAAUAAGUUUUUAAUGUAAUUAACUCAUUCCCAAGUUUAUUGUGAGCCUAAGGUUGAUGUCACAGAACUUUGAUUUGCAACAUUGCUCCUGUUUGUUUGUUUUUUUUUGUUUGUUUGUUUGGUUGGUUGGGUUUUUGUGUGUGUGUGUGUGUGUGUGUGUGUGGCUAUUUAUCUGUAUAUAGAAAUAGAUCAUUUAUGUUCUAUAAAUGAGAAUCUAAUUAACUGUACUUUUUUCACUUUUAUCAUAAUUAUCAUUUGCUCUUACUGGAAUCAUGUUUCUAAAUCCAGAAAUAAUAGAAACAUGGUAACACCAAGAGAGAUAUAGGCAAAGCUUGCUCAGAAAUGAUUGGAGAUGAAAUUCAUUCCAAGAGAAAGUCAGAUUAGGUUCUCACUGAAUAUAAGUGGUAUUUAAAAUAGAAAGACUUACCAGCAGACAUUCCUAUCUCAACCUUCAAGCAAGUAGGAUAUCCAAACUUGUAGAGAAUAUCUGAUACUAGCUGAUAGGUCUAUGUCUAAGCUGAAAUAUAGGAAGCUCACAGCACAACCUUCUAAAAUAAGUCAAAUCUUCAGGAAGUUUUCUCAUAUGUAUUUAGAGCAACAUAUUAAACACAAAUUAUAGAAAUCCUAAGUAUGUUUAUACUAAUUAAAAUAUAAACCAUUUCUAUAAAUGUAGUACAUGUAUUAGUAAAUAAGUACUAGAAGACUUUCAAUCAAAUUUAGAGUAUAUUUCACUAUGGGAAUUAAAGAGUAUUUCUCCUAAAAUAUUAUUAAUGAAAAACAGCAUAAUUUUGAAAUGUUUGAUGUUUUACACAGACAACACAAGCUUCAGAAGAGUUGUCUUUGACUCAGAUUUAGAAUUCUUCCAGUUACACUGCAGCAUAGGAAAAAUAUGAAAUAAUGUUCUUUGUGUCUAAGUGGGAUGUACCAGGGGAAAGCAUGCAAAGUGAAAUCAGCUGCGCACUGAAAGGUCCUCUGGUCCUUGCUAAUUUGACGACCAAAAGAUGAAAGAUUUCAUAGCCGAGUUCAGGAAACACUAAGAAGGGGAUAAAGGAGGAAAGAUGGGAAAAGGUUAAAUAAUAGGAAUCAAAAUUCAGUGAGAAAAGAAUUAGUUCUGAUACAAUGCAGCACAGUAUGGUAACUAUACUCUGAAACAAUGUAUGGUUCAUUUAUAUGCAUAAAGAGCAAGAAGAGUUGGAGAGCCCCAACACAUAGAAAGGACCAACAUUUAGAGACUACAAAUGCUAAUUAUCCCAAAUUUCCAUUUAUGUUGUUUCCAACUAUUGCACUGUAUCUCAAAUAGGCAUAAAUACUCCUCAUAAAUUACUCAUGGUAAUAGUCUUUGCAUAUCUGAAAAUAACUUUACUUUCACUAUUUAAUGAGAUGCUAUGUAUAUCAUUUAAAUAAGUUUCAUUCUACAUUUGGACGAUGUUCUAUAGUCUUCUGGUAUAUUAUUUAUUUAUUUUUUUAUUAUUUUUUGUAAUAUGAAAUCUGUUACAUGUACCUGUAAUAGCUGCUAGGAGGAUAGAGAAGAGUCAGAAUAUU